AAGUCGUAACAAGGUAUCCGUAGGUGAACCUGCGGAUGGAUCAUUAUCACGUAUCUCACGUAUAAACCAUUGUGAACUGUACCCACCUUGGAGAAAAUAAGAUAGUGUUGGAGAUAGCGUUACAACGGAACUCCUAGUGAUUUAGUUCCCAGUUAUCAUUCAACCUUUUAAAAGUACUCUUUUAAUGCUUGCUUUCUCUGAGUGUAUUCAAAUUAAUCACUAUUUUAAUUUACCUUUUAAACCUUUACACUUUAACCUUAAACUGAUCUUUUUCUUACUCCCGUAAUACGGAGAAGAAAUUCAUUACGAAACAUAAGAACAACUCUUAGCAACGGAUAUCUUGGUUCUC
rnacentral:misc_RNA from 1 species